rnacentral:rRNA from 1 species
UACGGAGGGGCAAGCGUUGUUCGGAAUCACUGGGCGUAAAGGGUGCGUAGGCGGGUCUUUAAGUCAGUGGUGAAAGCCCCGGAGCUCAACUCCGGAACUGCCAUUGAUACUGCAAGUCUUGAGUACACUUGAGGUGGGCGGAAUACAUCAUGUAGUGGUGAAAUACUUAGAUAUGAUGUAGAACACCGAUUGCGAAGGCAGCUCACUAAAUUGUAACUGACGCUGAGGCACGAAAGCGUGGGGAUCAAACAGG